AGAGGUAUAAGAAAUAAUAAAGGAGCUGCUAACUACCUUUAUAAGCGGUUAAAUUCCGUUUUCCUCUU
rnacentral:tRNA from 1 species